rnacentral:rRNA from 1 species
UUCGGUGGUCAUAGCGUUAGGGAAACGCCCGGUUACAUUCCGAACCCGGAAGCUAAGCCUUUCAGCGCCGAUGGUACUGCAUGGGGGACCGUG